AACGGGUGAGUAACGCGUGGGCGACUACCUUCGAGUGGGGGAUAACCUUCCGAAAGGAGGGCUAAUACCGCAUGACAUCCCGUGUUUGGAUACACGGAUAUCAAAGCCGGGGAUCGCAAGACCUGGCGCUUGGAGAGGGGCCCGCGUCCGAUUAGCUAGUUGGUGAGGUAACGGCUCACCAAGGCUCCGAUCGGUAUCCGGCCUGAGAGGGCGGACGGACACACUGGGACUGAGACACGGCCCAGACUCCUACGGGAGGCAGCAGUGGGGAAUUGUUCGCAAUGGGCGCAAGCCUGACGACGCAACGCCGCGUGGAGGAUGAAGACCUUCGGGUCGUAAACUCCUUUCGACCGAGAUGAAGACCGACCGGCCUAACAUGCCGGUCGAUUGACAGUAUCGAGGGAAGCAGCCCGGCUAACUCCGUGCCAGCAGCCGC
rnacentral:rRNA from 1 species